GGAGAUUUAGCUCAGUGGUAGAGUGCUUGCCUAGCAAGCACAAGGCCCUGGGUUCGGUCCCCAGCUCUG
rnacentral:tRNA from 1 species